rnacentral:lncRNA from 1 species
GACACAAUCCAAUCUAUUAAUCUUUCGCCAUAAGUCACAAGUCCUCGUCUCUCACGAGCCUUAUUCUCCUAUGGUUUUACUAUCCUAGGGUCUCCUAGGUUCAUCUAAAUCAUUUUUCCAUUCUCUACUUGUAAGGUACCGGACUUAUAAAACUAUGAAGUUACGGUGUAUAUUUAAAUGGUUCCGGUGAGGUUGCAGUGGAAUGUAACAUAUCGGAUUUUAAAUAUAAAAGUGAAAAUAAAUAAAAAUAGUAUGAGAUACUAUUUUUAUUGGAUUUAGAGAAGUGAAAUAUAAGUUGGGAAUGACCUGUGCUGAAAUCGGAGCGAAAAAAGAAGAUUUAGAAUUUUCUGUAAGAAACAGGACAGAUAAAUUAGCAGAAAAUGCACAGUGUCAGAAAAUUAUGAAAAUUGGCAGAGAUGUCAGAAAUAUUUUUAUGAGGCUAGAUUUAAAGUUUCAUAUUUUUCUGACACCCGUAGAGCGAGAAAUAAAAAUCUGAUAGCUAUCUGAUAAAGAUUGCAGUUCGGGAUAGUUUUCGGUGACCAAACGAGGUCAAAACUGAAAUAUUAAAAUUUUUUUGGACUUAUUAAGUAAAACCGAGUAUGCCUGUCAAAUUUGAGCGAAA